CAGUAGCCGCGGUAAUACGUAGGGUGCGAGCGUUAAUCGGAAUUACUGGGCGUAAAGCGUGCGCAGGCGGUUCGUUAAGACAGAUGUGAAAUCCCCGGGCUUAACCUGGGAACUGCAUUUGUGACUGACGGGCUAGAGUAUGGCAGAGGGGGGUAGAAUUCUACGUGUAGCAGUGAAAUGCGUAGAGAUGUGGAGGAAUACCGAUGGCGAAGGCAGCCCCCUGGGCCAAUACUGACGCUCAUGCACGAAAGCGUGGGGAGCAAACAGGAUUAGAUACCCGGGUAGUCCCUGUCUCUUAUAC
rnacentral:rRNA from 1 species